rnacentral:rRNA from 1 species
UCUGCCUUGUAGUGGGGGAUAACUUGCCGAAAGGUAAGCUAAUACCGCAUACGCCCUAAGGGGGAAAGCAGGGGACUCUUCGGAGCCUUGCGCUAUUAGAUGAGCCUAGGUCGGAUUAGUUAGUUGGUGGGUUAAUGGCUCACCAAGACCGCGAUCCGUAACUGGUCUGAGAGGAUGAUCAGUCACACUGGAACCGAGACACGGUCCAGACUCCUACGGGAGGCAGCAGUGGGGAAUAUUGGACAAUGGGGGGAACCCUGAUCCAGCCAUGCCGCGUGUGUGAAGAAGGCCUUCGGGUUGUAAAGCACUUUAAUUUGGGAGGAAGGGCUUACGGUUAAUAACCGCUAAGUUUUGACGUUACCAAAAGAAUAAGCACCGGCUAACUUCGUGCCAGCAGCCGCGGUAAUACGAAGGGUGCGAGCGUUAAUCGGAAUUACUGGGCGUAAAGCGCGCGUAGGUGGUUCAUUAAGUUAGGAGUGAAAGCCCCGGGCUCAACCUGGGAAUUGCUUCUAAAACUGGUGAGCUAGAGUACGGUAGAGGGUGGUGGAAUUUCCUGUGUAGCGGUGAAAUGCGUAGAUAUAGGAAGGAACAUCAGUGGCGAAGGCGACCACCUG